AGUGAACGCUGGCGGCAUGCCUAACACAUGCAAGUCGAACGGCAGCACAGUAAAAGCCUGCUCUUACGGGUGGCGAGUGGCGUACGGGCGAGGAGUACAGCGGAAUCUACUCUUUCUUGGGUGAUAACGUAGGGAAACUUACGCUAAUACCGCAUAUGACCUAUGGGUGAAAGCAGGGGAUCGUCUGUCCUUGCGAGAUUGAAUUCGCCGAUGUCGGAUUAGCUAGUUGGCGGGGUAAAGGCCCACCAAGGCGACGAUCCGUAGCUAGUCUGAGAGGACGAACAGCCACAAUGGAACUGAGACACGGCCCAGACGGCUACGGGAGGCAGCAGAGGGGAAUAUUGGACAAUGGGCGGAAGACUAAUGCAGAAAGAGCGCGUGGGUGAAGAAGGCACUCGGGUUGAAUAGAGCUGUUGUUGGGAAAGAAAAGCAGCAGAUUAAUACCCCGCUGUUAUGACGGUACCCGAAGAAUAAGCACCGGCUAACUUCGUG
rnacentral:rRNA from 1 species